AAGCAGAAGGCCUCUGCGCGGGAAUGAAAGUGCGCAUGCGUAAGAGGGAGCAUGUUGCUCGGUUAACACUAGAUUUUAUUGGCUGCAGACACACCCAGCAUCUUCUUGCGCUCCUCCUUGAGGUGGAUGGACAGCUAGCUGCAGAUGGCACAGAAUGGUGAGCAUCUUUUUGCACGCCGCAUUGCCCGCUGGCUCCAAGAUCUCGGCUGCCAGAUGCAGCAACAAAGCUUCUUUGUACAGACAACCCUGGACACACUUCUAGCAGCAAUUCUUCUUGCAGGAACUGGUGCAAGAACAGGAUUUAUCCGUGGCACAGGAGCAGUUGGUGUCCACUGGGAGUGGAGGCAGAAGAGAGACCAGAGCGGGUAUGUUAGGAGAGAAAGCAGUGACUUCAACAGAAGUGGAGUAAAUAAAGAUGAUUGCAGAACUUGGAAGCUGACGAAAUUAAUUUUGGAAAAGAGCUGGCUUGGAGCAUGACAGAAGAAUGCGUUGGAAAGAAUGCUGGGAGCCCAACUCAAGACUGAUGUGUGCUUGGCAGGCAGUCUACCCCCGAUCUCAGUCCUCAGCCUUUCGGCCUUUUUUCUUUCCUUUUUGGAGACAGAAUUGCAUCAUAUGGCAUCCUACACAGUCCUGCCUCAGUCUCUGGAGUGCUGGGAUUGUAGGCCUAUGCCACCUAGCCUUUCUACAAU
rnacentral:lncRNA from 1 species